AGUGAACGCUGGCGGUAGGCCUAACACAUGCAAGUCGAACGGCAGCACAGUAAGAGCUUGCUCUUACGGGUGGCGAGUGGCGGACGGGUGAGGAAUACAUCGUAAUCUACUUUUUCGUGGGGGAUAACGUAGGGAAACUUACGCUAAUACCGCAUACGACCUACGGGUGAAAGCAGUGGAUCUUCGGACCUUGCGCGAUUGAAUGAGCCGAUGUCGGAUUAGCUAGUUGGCGGGGUAAAGGCCCACCAAGGCGACGAUCCGUAGCUGGUCUGAGAGGAUGAUCAGCCACACUGGAACUGAGACACGGUCAAGACUCCUACGGGAGGCAGCAGUGGGGAAUAUUGGACAAUGGGCGCAAGCCUGAUACAGCCAUACCGCGUGGGUGAAGAAGGCCUUCGGGUUGUAAAGCCCUUUUGUUGGGAAAGAAAAGCAGCAGGUUAAUACCACGCUGUUCUGACGGUACCCAAAGAAUAAGCACCGGCUAACUUCGUG
rnacentral:rRNA from 1 species